CUUCAUUUUCAUCAAUUAUCACCAAAGCUGCAAUCCUUUGGUUUCACACAAGUUGAAUCAAUAGUGGCUGAUUUGAGCUUUCCAUUCUUUCCAAUAAUCCCACAGUUUUUAGUUCUUCUGGAGGCACUUUGUCACAUGCUUUAGCAUUACUGAAAUUUUGUGUCACAUGAUUCUUGUUUCUAGGGCUUUUAUAAUGAUUAACUUCCAUCCUAUUAUUGGUAACUAUUAGGAUUUGAAGAUGGUUGACCAUCCAAUUUUCUACGGUAGUAAAUGUCACAUGCCCAGUGGAAAAAACAAAACAGAACUCACAUAGUAGGGGCUGCAAAAGUAAACUAUGUGCAUGUGAACUAUGAACCUGGUGGAAAAAGGGCCAACAUAAUGAAUUAUGUUACUAAAAUAGGAAGAAAAAAUGGAGAAAUGCUGAAUAAAUGGAAGAGGGGCAAUAAUAGGAGAACUUCUGAAAAAUAUUGGAGUUUAUCGUUUAGAAUUUGUAGCAAUAAAAGGAAGAAUUAAUAUUGUCUGGUUUUAUUCAUUCUUUUUAAGAAGCAGUUUUCUUAAUUAUUUAUAUUUUAAAUUUGUGAUUCAAUGAUCCUAGAAAAUGGGAGAAACCAUAAGGAAAAACUAAGAGAAAUUUGUUAAGAGUAUUUACUGCAGAGAAAGAAAUUUUUUUAGAAAGUGAGUCUUAAAUGAAGAAAUUAUUUGUUUAGAGUCUUAACAAAUCAGUUAGAUUUGUAGUAUUCUGCAGUUGAAGGUGCUUGCAAGCAGUGAUUUUGACAUGUUGAAUAGGCUUCAACAGCUAACAAACACUGUAACAACUGAACAUUACAAAAGAAACUGAACUUUGUUACAUAAUUUAAGUCACACAAGCUUUAUAAGCUUAGCUACUAGCUAGCCUAUAUUCUAAUAUAUUCUUAACCCUUCAUCGCAUUUUAUUGUGCACUGUUGUAUUUGACAGAUCACUUUGAAUUUUGAACAUGAAGUUGUUUCUUGGCAUUCCUAUUUUGUGUGCGAGGCAUUACUAUCUUUACACUCUUGACAUGUCCAAUUCCUAAUACCUUCCUUGGCUUUAAUUAUUUUAAGGUCGAUGAUGUCCUCGAGACAAAGUUGGGACAAGAGUUUCAACUUGUUAUGGAUAAAGGAACGCUAGAUGAUUGCAUCCUGAUGGUCCUGUCAAGAGAUUGGUUGCUCCUGGUGGAAUACUUGUAAGCACUUCUAAAUUUAUUCCAAGUUCUAGGCGUUUGUGGGUCGUGGCAUGAACUGUGCAUGCCUAUUACUUAGUGGGAUUCUUUUAUUCAUUAAAAAAGAAGUCAUUAUUAUUUUGAUCUUGA